rnacentral:tRNA from 1 species
GGAAAUAUAGUUUAAUUGGGAAAAUUUUUGAUUUGCAUUCAAGCGUUGCGGGUUCAAGUCCCGCUAUUUCCA